CAGCAGCCACGGUAAAACGGAGGGGGCUAGCGUUGUUCGGAAUUACUGGGCGUAAAGCGCACGUAGGCGGCUUGGUAAGUUAGAGGUGAAAGCCUGGAGCUCAACUCCAGAAUUGCCUUUAAGACUGCCGAGCUAGCAGGUGAGAGAGGUAAGUGGAAUUCCGAGUGUAGAGGUGAAAUUCGUAGAUAUUCGGAAGAACACCAGUGGCGAAGGCGGCUUACUGGCUCAUACUGGACGCUGAGGUGCGAAAGCGUGGGGAGCAAACAGGAUUAGAUACCCGUGUAGUCCCUGUCUCUUAUAU
rnacentral:rRNA from 1 species